GAUGUGUAUUUAACUCUAAUGGGAGUUUGUAAACCAUCAUUUUUUUUAUUGAUAUAAUGUUUGUAAUUAGACAACUUUUCUUUUUCAUUUAUUAUUUUAUUAGUCUAAUGUUUUAGGUUAUUUGUUUCUUAUUUUCUUUUUCAUUUAUUAUUUUAUAUAAGGUAGAAGAUUUGUAUAAAAAAUUGUUGAUUAAUAGGAAUAUAAUUAUUUUUUUUCAUGUGAAUAAGUUGAAGAGGAUAAAAGAGACUUCUAUUUAUUGAUUUUGAAGUGCCUUAAAAUUUAUAUAGAUCGAGGGUAUAUUGAUGUUAGAGGCAUUCAAUUAAAAGAGGACAAUCCAAAUAAUUUAGAAAUAUAAAUAUGUGUCUCAUUUUUAAAUAUUAUAUUGUCUACAAUGUGUAGGUGAUCUACUUGAUCUCGAUCAAGAGAAAUAU
rnacentral:lncRNA from 1 species